rnacentral:rRNA from 1 species
UACGAAGGGGGCUAGCGUUGCUCGGAAUCACUGGGCGUAAAGCGCACGUGGGCGGCUUGUUAAGUCAGGGGUGAAAUCCUGGAGCUCAACUCCAGAACUGCCUUUGAUACUGGCGAGCUUGAGUUCGGGAGAGGUGAGUGGAACUGCGAGUGUAGAGGUGAAAUUCGUAGAUAUUCGCAAGAACACCAGUGGCGAAGGCGGCUCACUGGCCCGAUACUGACGCUGAGGUGCGAAAGCGUGGGGAGCAAACAGG